CCUACGGGAGGCAGCAGUGAGGAAUAUUGGUCAAUGGGCGGGAGCCUGAACCAGCCAAGUCGCGUGAGGGAAGACGGUCCUAUGGAUUGUAAACCUCUUUAGGCGGGGAGCAAUGCCGGGCACGCGUGCCCGGAGGGAGAGUACCCGCAGAAUAAGCAUCGGCUAACUCCGUGCCAGCAGCCGCGGUAAUACGGAGGAUGCGAGCGUUAUCCGGAUUUAUUGGGUUUAAAGGGUGCGUAGGCGGAGCGUUAAGUCAGUGGUCAAAUUGAGGGGCUCAACCCCUUCCCGCCAUUGAAACUGGCGCUCUUGAGUGGAAGAGAAGUAUGCGGAAUGCGUGGUGUAGCGGUGAAAUGCGUAGAUAUCAGGAGGAACAUCGGUGGCGUAAGCGCUUUACUGGGCCGUAAUUGACACUGAGGAACGAAAGCCGGGGUAGCAAAUGGGAUUAGAUACCCUAGUAGUC
rnacentral:rRNA from 1 species